AGUACAGGUGUGCACCUACACAUGCACACCUGUACUGUACAAUAAAUAUGGUGACUUGCGCCAACUUGAGUAUAAAUUUGAUACCUGCACCAUGCAGGUAUCAGAUUUACUCCUAAUAAUUUACUGCACAGUA